UAUCGUUAAGUUUCAAUCAGUCAUUUUAUCAAACACUUCGUGGUCAGAAGUUAUAUACUUACAUGUAGCCAGCCCUUGAUUGAUUAAGCUCGAAAUCUGUGAUCUUCUUAGUAGUAUUUGCUGUUUGAAGUCGAAUCUUGAUAAUGUGGAGUGUUAGAAGAAAAUUUGCCCUAUGUUUACUCUCUGUUGCAUCUGGUAACCACCUUAGUUCAGCAAAUAGUGUUAUAAAGCCUAUUAGGUUAUUGUCCCAUUGUUGUUAUAUGGUUAGUGAAUCUGAGUUGAGGGCUUCUGUCCGUAUUUUGAAAUCGACUAGUUUUCCGAUUUUGGUUUCUCAAUUUUCGUCCGUUACUGAAAGAAAUCAAGAUGGUUAUGCUCUAGAGAAGUGUGAUAAUGGGGUUAGCGGCAAUGAUGAAAAUAGGAGUGAGGAUGAUGAGGAUUAUGAUGAAAGCAAGGGUGGGCAGUUGGGCUUGAAGGAUGAGGAUUUUAAUAGGAAUGUAGGUGUUAUUAUGGAUGUUUUGUUAGCCCCACGAAGCAGUUGUUCGGUUGUGAAGUAUAAGCUUGAGCAGUGUAGUGUGGUUGUUUCGACGGAUUUGGUUGUGGAGGUUCUUUCUCGUGUACGUAAUGAUUGGGAAGUGGCGUAUACUUUCUUUAUGUGGGCUGGUAGGCAGUCAGGUUAUGCACAUUCUCUACGUGCGUACCAUUCUAUGAUUUCUAUUUUAGGGAAAAUGAGAAGAUUCGAUACAGCUUGGGGGUUGAUUGAGGAGAUGAAAGGUGGGAGAACUGGACCCUCUCUAGUGACUCCACAUACGUUGUUGAUAUUGAUUAGAAGGUAUUGUGCUGUGCAUGAUGUUGGAAAAGCUAUUAAUACUUUUUAUGCUCAUAAGCGGUUUAAAUUUGAGAUAGGAAUGGAGGAAUUCCAAAAUCUUUUAUCUGCUCUGUGUCGGUAUAAGAAUGUCAAAGAUGCUGAACACUUGCUCUUUUGCAACAAAGAUGUUUUUCGGCUCAAUACCAAGAGUUUUAAUAUAAUUCUUAAUGGAUGGUGUAACAUUAUGGGGAAUUCAAAGGAAGCAAAGAGAAUUUGGUGGGAGAUGCAUGAGAGAAAGAUUUUUAAAGACGUUGUAUCUUAUGCUAGCAUGAUGUCAUGCUAUUCGAAAGUUGGUAGACUCAAUGAUGUUCUCAGGCUCUUUAACCAGAUGAAAGCGCUGGAAAUUGUUCCAGAUAGAAAAGUUUACAAUGCUGUCAUUCACGCUCUUGCAAAAGGCAAGCUUGUGAAGGAAGCUUGCAAUCUAUUGAAAACAAUGGAAGAAGAAGGUAUUGCUCCAAAUGUUAUUACUUAUAACUCACUUAUUAUGCCUCUAUGCAAAGCCCGUAAAUUAGAUGAAGCGCGGGAGGUUUUUGAUGAGAUGUUACAAAGGGGCCUUGCACCUACCAUUCGAACUUACCAUGCUUUCUUUCGCAAUUUAAGGACAGCUGAAGAUGUGUUUGAGCUCUUAGAAAACAUGAACAAGGAAGGGUGCCGUCCCGGUCAUGACACUUUUAUAAUGUUAAUCAGAAAGUUUUGCCGUUGGCGCCAACUUGACAAUGUCUACAAGCUGUGGAAUCAGAUGAGUGAUUAUGGACUUGAUCCUGAUCGCAGUUCAUAUAUUGUUCUAAUCCAUGGGCUGUUUUUAAAUGGAAUGUUGGAGGAAUCAUACAAAUAUUAUCAAGAGAUGAAGGAAAAACAUUUAGUGCCAGAGCCAAAGAUAGAUGAGAUGCUUCAAACUUGGAUAGCUGGUAAACAAAAUGCAGACAAGCCCGCAGUUGAGUCAAAACAUGAUCAGGUAAGUCGUAGUCAGACAACAAAGGAUGCAAAAGCUCCCUCAGAGAAGGUUGAACGGAAUGUAGAUUUUCGCCGACAACCUGAAACUAAAAAAGUUGUGAGGGAAAGAGGAUAUUCAUUUUGGGAUGAUUAGAUCAAAGUUGAUAACUGAUGCUCUCCUAUGUUGCUAUAUGUUCUACAUAGGACUCCAUGAUUACGUAUGAGCGAAGCACAAUAAAGACAUCUCAAUAUCUCCUUUCAGCUGCCGGAAAAUUUAAUCUACAAUGCUUGUUUACGAUCAAGUAGAUCACCCUCACCAGAACAACAAUGCUCCUACGCAGCCCAAUGCCCGUCCCGAAACCGAGCCAUAUUCUUCACCU